ACGAAGGUGGCAAGCGUUGUUCGGAUUUACUGGGCGUACAGGGAGCGUAGGCGGUUGGAUAAGCCCUCCGUGAAAUCUCCAGGCUUAACCUGGAAAGUGCAGAGGGGACUGUUCAGCUAGAGGAUGGGAGAGGGUAGUGGAAUUCCCGGUGUAGCGGUGAAAUGCGUAGAUAUCGGGAGGAACAUCAGUGGCGAAGGCGGCUACCUGGCCCAAUACUGACACUCAGGUGCGACAGCGUGGGGAGCAAACAGGA
rnacentral:rRNA from 1 species